rnacentral:lncRNA from 1 species
CUUGCUAAUAAUAACUUCUAUAUAAAUGCAAGAAUUGUAGGAAAAAGCAUUUUGUUUAAUGUAUAAAUAAAACUUGGUGCCAUUUUCUUUGCCUUCGUCACUGGAAGCCUAUGGAUCAUGAAUGCAAAUUAAAAACAAUAAAGGUUGAAAGCGCACUGUAGGGCAUGUUCCAGAAGAACACAAGCCUUGCCCUUGGGAUGCCAUUUAGAGUAUUUUGUCAAACUGGGCAUUUGGAGCCUGUCCCAAGAGGAUGGAGAGACAGUCAUUCCAAACGUCUCUGCUGGGGACUGCUUUGACAGACUGCCGCCACCACUGUGGGAGAAGACUGACAGUGCUGCUGGGGCCUCCCCCAGCCCCUGGCUCUCCAACCAGCUCCUGGGCUUCCGGGGACCUGGCAAAAUGGGACACAUAGUGUCAUUGUGGCCUCCCCUCCUUGAGGUCCCGUUGGUGUGAGAUACCAAGACAGACCCCGGCAUUGGUCAUUGUUACUACAGGUCCCCAGCUGCAGCCAUUCAGGCUCACAGGCUGAGGGGGAAAAAAAGGAAGAACAAAACUUUUUGAUGGCUUGUCUGGUUCCUGAGAGAGCCUGAUGCCCACCUCUUCCCUGAAAGAAAGAUGCUGUUUCUAACACACAGACUGCGAGUCAAUGAGAAGGAAGACAGAGAAGUGGUGGGAGAGAGGAAGUCCAGCAAGUGUGCUCCUUCCCCCGCCGUCCUGUGGCGGAGAUGGAAGUACCAUUGAAACGCCCAAGGCCAAAAAAGGAAGAAAAGGAGUUGUCAAACCUUUGAGCCCCCACAAAUGCUUUCACAGCCCAGGACACUUCCCCAAACACCUUCCUCAGCCACACCAUCGUUUCAGCAUUCCUCCUACCGAAAUGGCACGCGUCUCUUGGAUAUCUCCUUUUAUUCGAGCAUAUGAAGAAGUUUUUCAGAAAGAGUUAAUGGUGAUACAUUUUCUGAAUUCCUGCACGUCUUCAUAAUCAAUAGAUUAGUUAUGGAAAUAGAAUGCUAUACAAUCACAUUUUUUUCUUAUAAUUUUGAAGGCACUGCUUCACUGCCAUACAGCACACGGUGUUGAGAUGAUGCAAAUUUCGUCGUCCGCCUGCUUCUCAUUCCUCUGCAGGUAAGAGAUUGGCCACGAGUCCCACCCUCCAAGUAUUCCAGGUGCUUUUCCCUUCCCAGCCUGGGAUAAUGUUGCAUGUCUUGGCCCCUCAAGCUCGAAGAGGGUCAUGUGACUAAUUCUGGCCAAUGAGUUGUGAGCGGCUGCAUGAAUUGUGGGAGGAUGUGUCGCUCCCAGGCCAGAGUAUUUAUUCUGAGACCCUCCAGAAAUCUGUCUUUUCCCUCUGCCAUGGCAAAUGACAGUGUUCUAUGUAGUGGAACCAUCAGCCUAGGUCCCAGGGUGAAGAUGGUAAUGACCCGGGAGCGCAGCCUCCCCAUCUGUUGUGUAUUUUGGAGAUACUCAACCUCUCUUGCGAUUCUUUCUUCAGCACACACUUCCCUUGAGGGGUGAUAUUCUGGCUUUAGCCUAAACGCACCGGUUCCCUCUGCCAGGACUUCAGGGCGGGCGUGGAAGAGAGAUGCUCUUUUCAAGGGUUAACCUGGUACCUGGCCCACUCUCCCCUUUGCAUUUAGUGAUUGAAUGCGGAGCUGAUUUCUGGGGCUCCCGAGGAUGUCCGUGCUUACUUCUGGUAUCUUGGGCUGUGGUUUCCCCUGCUCUUUGUCUAUUCUGAUCCCAUAUGUUUUCUGUAUUCUAAGAAUUCUUCAACAUAUUUGACCGACAGAUGGUUUCCAGCAUUGUUCUGCUUUUAUUAGAAAACAAAACAAAACAAAACAAACAAAACAAAAAAACUGCUGUCAUUUCAAAGGGGUCUUUGGGGAGGAAGGGGAGGUGAAUGUGGUGCUCCGUCCGCCAUUUUUAACCUGAAGUUAAAUGUCCAAUUUUGAACAAAGAUUUUUCUUUCCAUUGAAAAAUCAUGUUGAUGCCAAGCUGUCUAAGUAAAAGGGAGAGCCUUAAGAAUAUCAACCCUCUCCUUCUCCCGGAGCCCUUAAUAAACAAUUGUACUGAAGUUUUGGACGCA